CUGCAUCCCCCCAUGGCUGAAGCUCAGCAGAGGAGAAGAUUCUCAGAACCAAGUCGGAAAUUGUAUCAUACUUUUUAGAGUUCCUCUGCAAAUCUCUUGCAAUUUUGAUUUCUGGAGUUUUGUUUCCUAAACUGUACACAGGUGGAAUAAACUGGCCUUAUUAUUUAGCUGAUGUAGGCCUAAUUUUAAGUGCACCAUUUUUGCUCUCAAUUUCCAGAUUCAUUCUUAUCUUACCGGUAAUAAACCUAACACAGACACUGAAUUUUACCAGUAACCUUUCUUGCUCAGUUGAUCUAUUUUUUCCGUCCUCCUUGUAAGUUUUUUUAAUCUUUAGGGAACUUUGAAGUACUUCCCACAGCUAUGCUCAAAAGUGGGUUUGUAGCCUUUUACUGCCGUUACUGCCAGUGGACCUUGCUUGAGGCCAUAGGGAAGUUGGGACAAAGCCAGGGAAAAACAUCAGGUUCCCAUCUCAAGCACAAGAUCGCCAUUUGUCUUUUAUAAGCCUGUCUUGUCUGAUGCUUUCAAAUUUUCAGAAUAGAGGACCUUGAGAUUGAAGUGUUCAUGCUUUUUCAUAGCGCAGAUAUAGAUUUUUCCUUGGGAAAGUUUGACCAUGUCAUGCCGGUCUGUUUGUGAGCAACAUGGUGUGUGGUGAUGGUACAUCUGAGAUAAUUAUUCCUUGCUUUUACUAUUAGAUUAUUCAAAACUCACUUUCUCUGACUCUCUAGCCUCCGUAAAUCCAUUAACAUAAGUGGAGUUAUGGUCAUUUAUACUUGCUGAAUAUCAGUUUUAAAAGAUAAGAGCUGAGUACUUGAUGAAGAAAGGAAGAGCUGUGAGCCAAACCUGUAACUCAGGGCUGGAACCAACACAUUCCACAGCAUCAUGCUGGAAUAUUGGUAGAAGCACAGGUACCUGUAAUCUUCUGGGAACUGACUUCUGUUUAGAUGAAUUGUCAUCUGUUUGAUCUGCGAAGAGCCAUGAGAGAAUUACCGGUGACAUGGGACAUCACACUUUUUUGAUAAACAACUUUUCAUUGAUCUGAAAUGCAUGUUUCUGUG
rnacentral:lncRNA from 1 species